GAAGAAGCCGGCAGCCAAGAAACGUUACUGUUAACAGAAGAUGCCAUAAGCGUUUCCAUGUAGCGGAGAACUAAACUUGCGGAUGGAUUGGGCAUCGUGAUACCAGGUGUUGACGUUCCGAUUUAUGACAUUCCCAUAGGGCGCACCAACUUAUGAGCACUAGUGGGAGACGCUGCCCCCUUCCUGCAAGAGGCACCCACAAAGUGGGUCGUGGCUCCUAUGUAGCCACCAGUUAGGUGUUGACAUUCCGAUUUAAGACAUUCUAUAGCCGCACCAACCCCUAAGCUGCCCCCUUCCUGUAGGAGACAACCCACAAAGUGGCCAUGGCUCUUAGGCCGCCAACGGUCAGGUGUUGAUGUCCCGAUUUAAGACUCUCCAUAGGCGCACCAAACCCCGAGCACUGGUGAGAGACACUACCCUCUUCCUAUAGGAGGCAGCGCACAAAGUGCUCUCAGGCAGUAGAACGAAUAUUUAGACAUCAUGCGUAAUGAAAUAUUGUCAUUGAGGAUUGAACCGAGAAGCUAUCGUAGAGGAUUAAACCUAGAUCAAGCAGGCGGAUGAUUAACGUUUUUACCACCGGGCCAUUACUUGGGGUGAUAUUACUAAAUUUAUUAAUAUCUUGUUCAACAACAACUUUUCAUAUAACUUUUAUUACUUUGUCUAAGUCAAAAUACAAACUUUCAUAUA